AGCUACAUCAUUUAUAAAGUUUAAUUGGUAAUACUUUUAUAACAAAUUUAUGACAGAUCAUGAUUUCUUGGUUAAUGUCAAGUUGUCAUAACAGAGACACUUUUGUCUAGGUUAAUGUCUAGUUGUCAUAA